UAUUAUAAUCAAUUCUUGGUACAGUUUGUUUUAAAUUGUUGGAUAACUAUCAGGUCACGGGUUCAAGCAUAACCAACACAUUCUUAGUUAUUUCAUAGUCAAACAAAUCUUCUACAUAUCUAUAUUUACUUGCCAUAAAAAUGCACUGACAACUUACCUUAUGUGGUUGCUGUUACUAUAACCACGUCACUGUCUGAACAUGCUUAUAUAGUCACUGCUACCAAGAGCAGUCAUUUGAUACAUUCAUAAUUAUGAUUGCUUUUUUUUUAAAUAAAAUGCUAUAAAAAUGGUAUUCCAACAUUUAUUAUAAUUCUCUGCAGCAUGAGUUAUCAAGAUGGAGCAUAUAUUUUUGUUCAACAUGGCACUGAAAAGUAUCCUGCAGUAGUUGAUGGAUGGCCAUGGGUCAGAUUUUUCAAGAGAAAGCGGGGUCGCACCAACCACUGGGAGAUGCAAGAGACCAGGCAUGUAGUAGUGCUACAAGACGUUGCCGGUCUAUUACACCCACCAGAGUUAGUCUGUUGUGGAUCCAGAUUCCUCUACGCGUUUGAAGACUUCUAAUGACAAGCGGGUGGAGAUGGCUAGCAAGAUGGCGUUAUCAUCAUCUGACAUUUUGAAUCUGAAAGCUGUGUUAAUAGUUUGAAUAAAUUUUACUUUGAAUUAAAA